GAUCAUGGCUCGGGACGAACGCUGGCGGCGUGCUUAACACAUGCAAGUCGAACGAAGAGCGAUGGAAGCUUGCUUCUAUCAAUCUUAGUGGCGAACGGGUGAGUAACGCGUAAUCAACCUGCCCUUCAGGGGGGACAACAGUUGGAAACGACUGCUAAUACCGCAUACGAUCCAAUCUCGGCAUCGGGACUGGAUGAAAGGUGGCCUCUAUUUAUAAGCUAUCACUGAAGGAGGGGAUUG
rnacentral:rRNA from 1 species